rnacentral:rRNA from 1 species
UACGGAGGGUGCGAGCGUUAUCCGGAUUUACUGGGCGUAAAGCGCGUUCAGGCGGUUUGGCAAGUCGGGCAUGAAAUCUCUCGGCUCAACCGGGAGAGGUUGUCCGAUACUUCCAGACUUGAGGGCAGUAGAGGGUGGUGGAAUUCCGGGUGUAGUGGUGAAAUGCGUAGAUAUCCGGAGGAACACCAGUGGCGAAAGCGGCCACCUGGACUGCACCUGACGCUGACACGCGAAAGCUAGGGGAGCGAACGGG